rnacentral:rRNA from 1 species
GAUGAACGCUGGCGGCGUGCCUAAUACAUGCAAGUCGAGCGAACAGACGAGGAGCUUGCUCCUCUGACGUUAGCGGCGGACGGGUGAGUAACACGUGGAUAACCUACCUGUAAGACUGGGAUAACUUCGGGAAACCGGAGCUAAUACCGGAUAAUAUAUUGAACCGCAUGGUUCAAUAGUGAAAGACGGUUUUGCUGUCACUUAUAGAUGGAUCCGCGCCGCAUUAGCUAGUUGGUAAGGUAACGGCUUACCAAGGCAACGAUGCGUAGCCGACCUGUGAGGGUGAUCGGCCACACUGGAACUGAGACACGGUCCAGACUCCUACGGGAGGCAGCAGUAGGGAAUCUUCCGCAAUGGGCGAAAGCCUGACGGAGCAACGCCGCGUGAGUGAUGAAGGUCUUCGGAUCGUAAAACUCUGUUAUUAGGGAAGAACAAAUGUGUAAGUAACUAUGCACGUCUUGACGGUACCUAAUCAGAAAGCCACGGCUAACUACGUG